GGUGCUUUGGUUUAACCCCUGCCAGCAACUAAGUACCAGCCAGCCACCCCCACGGUGGAGGGGGGGGAGAGUUGGGAAAAGGUAAAACUUGUGGGUUGAGAUAAGAAUGGUUUAAGAAUUGAAACAAAACAAAGUAAAAUAUAUUAGUAAUACUAAUGAUAAUAAUGAAAAGGAGAGACGGGGAGAGAGGGAGGAAUAAAACCAAAGAAAAUUAAGUGAUGCACAAUAGAAUUGCACACCAGUUGCUGACUGAUGCCCAGCCAGUCCCUGAGCAGUGAUUGAUAGCUCCCAGCCAGCUCCUCCCAAUUUCCAUAAGAAGCAUGACAUUCAAUGGUAUGGAAUAUACCUUUGGCUACUUCGGGUCAGCUGUCCUGACUAUGCUCCCUCCCAGCUCCUUGAGCAGCUGCUCACUGGCAGAGUAUGGGAAACUGAAAAGUCUUUGACUUCAGAAGCACUACUUGGCAAUAACUAAAACAUCAGUGUGCUAUCAAUACUAUUCUCAUACUAAAAUCAAAACACAGCACUGUACCAGUUGCUAAGAAAAACAGUUAAAUCUACCCCAGCUGAAACCAGGACAAGGGCCUGAGCCACUACCCCCCUCCACUGAAAGCCCUGGAACUGGCAGAAGUCCUGGAAAAUGAGAGUGCUCUAUACAUACUCCAUGUCCGAGAGAAGUUAAUCCACCAAACUGCAAUUUUAGAAGGACUAGUGUAAACACAGGAGGCUUCUGUCAAAAUGCAGCCAAAAGGCUUUUGGGUACAGAAGGGCAGGAGUGCUUGGAGGGAGCUUCACAGGGAAGGGUGGCAUGAGGCAAAGAAAUGUCUCAUUUAAAGUUCUGCCGGGGCCUAGGGACUGGGCAGGUUCAAGUUAUAGAGCAGGAUAUGCACCAGCUAAAAUUUUGAUCUUACAGUGACUGAGUGUGCAGAACGGGGUGUGAAGGUCUCCGUGCUGCGCCUGUGAUGAUGGGUAUGACCCCUUCUGGGUCUGCUCCCCAUUCCUUUCAUGUGAUUCACUGAACAGUGAUGGCUACUGGUGGUGUUCCAGUGUCAAGGGGUUUUCUGUGACACAUUACUGAUGGGAUGAGGCUAAGUAUUAUCUCAGAAGAUCAGUAGGGCAAGAAGGACCCUCAUUUAACUCAUUUAUAUUAUACUGAAGUCAUGAUAGAUGCUGUCAUAGGAAAGGGAGCCUUCUGGAACACGUUUAAAUUAAAGAUUUUGUUACUUCAGUUACUAACAAGGCAUAAUACAAACAAAAUAAUGGUUCUAAUAUAACAGUCUGAAAUACAAUAAUGGGUUUGGAGAAUGUGAAACUAGUUGUGUGUCACAGAAAGCUAUGAGAUCUCUUAUUUUCUGUAUCUGUCUGUAUUUCAGGUUCUGCAUUUGCGCCACUCUGAGUUGUCAGUGCUUUCAUGAGCUCAUGAGAUAUUUAAAAGACAGUUAGUCCAAUCACAGGAUACCAAAGUAUUCAGCAGCAAAUACAGCUGAGUACAAUAUACUUUCAGGCAAGUCACAGAAUUUAAUACUUGAUGCCAAGGUAUAUCAAUAAGUUGCAUAACACAGUGUUUUAAACCAUCUAACUACCAAUGUUUAGCCACCUAACUGCACAGUUUAUCAUUUUAAAGUUAACCAUAGCAUUGCA